UGAGACACGGCCCAGACUCCUACGGGAGGCAGCAGUGGGGAAUAUUGCACAAUGGAGGAAACUCUGAUGCAGCGACGCCGCGUGAGUGAAGAAGUAGUUCGCUAUGUAAAGCUCUAUCAGCAGGGAAGAUAGUGACGGUACCUGACUAAGAAGCUCCGGCUAAAUACGUGCCAGCAGCCGCGGUAAUACGUAUGGAGCAAGCGUUAUCCGGAUUUACUGGGUGUAAAGGGAGUGUAGGUGGCCAGGCAAGUCAGAAGUGAAAGCCCGGGGCUCAACCCCGGGACUGCUUUUGAAACUGCAGGGCUAGAGUGCAGGAGGGGCAAGUGGAAUUCCUAGUGUAGCGGUGAAAUGCGUAGAUAUUAGGAGGAACACCAGUGGCGAAGGCGGCUUGCUGGACUGUAACUGACACUGAGGCUCGAAAGCGUGGGGAGCAAACAGGAUUAGAUACCCUGGUAGUCCACGCCGUAAACGAUGUCGACUUGGAGGUUGUGCCCUUGAGGCGUGGCUUCCGGAGCUAACGCGUUAAGUCGACCGCCUGGGGAGUACGGCCGCAAGGUUAAAACUCAAAUGAAUUGACGGGGGCCCGCACAAGCGGUGGAGCAUGUGGUUUAAUUCGAUGCAACGCGAAGAACCUUACCUGGUCUUGACAUCCACAGAACUUUCCAGAGAUGGAUUGGUGCCUUCGGGAACUGUGAGACAGGUGCUGCAUGGCUGUCGUCAGCUCGUGUUGUGAAAUGUUGGGUUAAGUCCCGCAACGAGCGCAACCCUUAUCCUUUGUUGCCAGCGGUCCGGCCGGGAACUCAAAGGAGACUGCCAGUGAUAAACUGGAGGAAGGUGGGGAUGACGUCAAGUCAUCAUGGCCCUUACGACCAGGGCUACACACGUGCUACAAUGGCGCAUACAAAGAGAAGCGACCUCGCGAGAGCAAGCGGACCUCAUAAAGUGCGUCGUAGUCCGGAUUGGAGUCUGCAACUCGACUCCAUGAAGUCGGAAUCGCUAGUAAUCGUGGAUCAGAAUGCCACGGUGAAUACGUUCCCGGGCCUUGUACACACCGCCCGUCACACCAUGGGAGUGGGUUGCAAAAGAAGUAGGUAGCUUAACCUUCGGGAGGGCGCUUACCACUUUGUGAUUCAUGACUGGGGUGAAGUCGUAACAAGGUAACCGUAGGGGAACCUGCGGUUG
rnacentral:rRNA from 1 species